rnacentral:snRNA from 1 species
CAGUGUUAUAGCUCUUUUAGAAUUUAUCUAGCAGAUUUUCCAGUUGUCACUGGAAGACCCCC